GCCUUAAACUAAUGAGUAAGGAAAACAAAGCGUUGCGGUGAGAGCCGCUCGCGGUGCGGGACUCAAACCCUGCACGGCAAUUUUUGCGAGGGGAAGAGGCUCGCGCGGGUAUUGACACUGCUUACUUUUGCAGGACUUGCCUGUGUGGGCCUCCCUACCCACAAAAUACCAAAUCUAAAUUUAGCUAUAGUUAAUUAAAUAGAACUCUUUUUAAAAAAAUUCAAAUUUGAUUUGUAAUAAAUUAUAGUAAUAUUUAUAAUAAAAACAAAUAUUGUAUUAAAAUAUGUUUAAUAUAAAAUAAAAUUAAAUUGUAGUACUUCGAUUUAAUGUGAGUUAUUUUAGCAUUUUUUAUAUUCGUAUUACAUUUGUAUUGAUGUUAAUGAAUUUAAAGAGUAUUGAUGUUAAUGAAUUUAAA
rnacentral:sRNA from 1 species